CCGCCCUCUCCAGCUGGAAGAAGUCGUAAUCGAACCUGCUCAGGUCCUCACUGCCCCACUCCGAAGGAAACCCCACGUACAGGUGAGGUCAGAGGAGUGAAGUGACUUGCCCAAGACCACACAGUGAGUCAGGAGCAGGCCUGUCCCUCCAGCAGUGGUGCCAUGUUGUCCCCAAGCCAUGGUGGCAGAGGAGCUGGUGUGAACGCCCCAUCCUGCCACGUCUGUGAUGUGGGCACCUCACAUGACUGUCCCCUCCCAGCUCUUGGGGGGGACCUAGGACAUUCUGUGAGCCUGCAGGAAAGUUUACCAAAUGCUGCAGCUUUGUCCUGGUGGUGAUGGGCACCCCGUUAACGGCAACCUUGCAUUUGCUAUGUGGAGUGACCGUCACUUUACCGUCGGCAUUUGUGAAGGAAGCGUGUUUAUCUGAAAUUCUAAGAAGAUGAGAGUCAAAGACACCCAGCAAACGGCGGUUUCCGUGAGCAGGUAGGCUGACCUUUCUCAUGUGCACAGGAGGGAAGGUCUACAGCUGCGGAGGAUGGCAGGUGGCAUCUCGGGGCCUCCUGUGUGCUGUGGCCCAUGAUGCAUGGGGACAGCAGCGGGCGCAGAAGGACCCUGCCCUUGGGGAGCACGGGGAGCUGGGAGACAGCAGGCAAGGGCUUCAUUAACAGAACGAACACCAGCUGAGGGCCUAGCACUGCGGGGAGCCGGCCAAGGCCACACUGGAGUCCUCCCGCUCCCAGGCCAGCGGGAUGGGGUGGUGGGAAGAUGGCAGCAAGCAAGCUUCAGAAGAGACGCUCAGGAGGCGACUCUUAACGAGCCUCACCUACUCCGGGUACGUUUUGAUCUGUUUCUGCGCCCUCGCCGUAUAAAUUCAGACCUUAUAGGAUUUGGGGCUGGACGUCGGGGUGUCAGGUUGGCAUCCCCUCUCCCCGCCCUGCUCCCCUGCACCGAUGUCAUCUGUGUGUCCUGAAUGACUGGCUCCCUGCCUUAGCAUGUUCCAUGUUCCUGCACUCCUUGGCCAUCAUGGAAUGUUCUGGAUGUGGAGACCCGUGUGCAUCCAAACCCUUUUUUGCAUGGGGCCCAGGGAUCCUGUGGGAAAGGUUGCGGCCUCAUCACUGGAGUU